rnacentral:RNase_P_RNA from 1 species
CACGGUGGUCGGAUAGCUGCGUCGAUUCUGUCGAUGAGGAAAGUCCGAGCGUCAUGGAAACAAGAUACCGGAUAACGUCCGGCUGGAGAAAUCCAAGGGAAAGUGCCACAGAAAAUUACCGCCGAAUCCGAUUCGGUAAGGUUGAAAAGGCGAGGUAAGAGCUCACCGCAAAGGUAGUAAUACACUUUGGCAAGGUAAACCCUGUCUGACGCAAGACCAAAUUAGGAGAGCGGCUUUAGCCGUAUAAUGGGGCGUUUCCACUCUACUCCAGAGGUAGGUCGCUCGAGCUGGUUGGUAACAAUCAGCCAAGAUGAAUAGCUAUCGCUUUGAAUCUUCACAAGUAUUGUGAAGCAAAUGAUAAGUACAAAACUCGGCUUACAGACCACCUGAAUU